UACGUAGGGGGGCGAGCGUUUGUCCGGAAUUAUUGGGCGUAAAGAGCGUGUAGGCGGUUCGGUAAGUCUGCCGUGAAAACCUGAGGCUCAACCUCGGGCGUGCGGUGGAUACUGCCGGGGCUAGAGGACGGUAGAGGCGAGUGGAAUUCCCGGUGUAGCGGUGAAAUGCGCAGAUAUCGGGGAGGAACACCAGUAGCGAAGGCGGCUCGCUGGGCCGUUCCUGACGCUGAGACGCGAAAAGCUAGGGGGAGCGAACAGG
rnacentral:rRNA from 1 species